rnacentral:rRNA from 1 species
CCUACGGGAGGCUGCAGUGGGGAAUAUUGCGCAAUGGGCGAAAGCCUGACGCAGCGACGCCGCGUGAAGGAUGACGGCCCUAUGGGUUGUAAACUUCUUUUAUACGGGAAUAAACCCGGGUACGUGUACCCGGCUGAAUGUACCGUAAGAAUAAGGAUCGGCUAACUCCGUGCCAGCAGCCGCGGUAAUACGGAGGAUCCAAGCGUUAUCCGGAUUCAUUGGGUUUAAAGGGUGCGUAGGCGGAUUUGUAGAAAUCCUACAGCUUAACUGUAGAACUGCCGUUGAUACUGCAAGUCUUGAGUACAUUUGAUGUGGGCGGAAUGUGUCAUGUAGCGGUGAAAUGCUUAGAUAUGACACGGAACACCAAUUGCGAAGGCAGCUCACAAAACUGUAACUGACGCUGAGGCACGACAGCGUGGGGAUCAAACAGGAUUAGAUACCCCAGUAGUC